rnacentral:tRNA from 1 species
GUUCCAGUAGCGCAGUGGUUCGGGCACAGCUCCGGAAAGGUUGGAACGCGGGUUCUAUUCCCACCUGGGAUG